AUGGCCGCCGAGGAGGCCGCCAAGCCGGCCACGCUCCCGUCCUAUCCCGAGAUGAUACUGGCGGCCAUCGCGGCGCUCAACGACAAGAACGGGUCGAACAAGUCCGCCAUCUCCAAGCACAUCGAGGGCAAGUACGGCGACCUCCCCAAGGAGCACGCGGCGCUGCUGACGGCGCAUCUGGUGCGCAUGAAGGAGACCGGCCAGCUCCUCUUCCUCAAGAACAACUACUUCCGCACCGACGCGCCGGACGCCCCGCCCAAGCGGGGCCGCGGCCGCCCGCGCAAGCCCAUUGACCCCAACGCGCCGCCCAAGCCCGCCUCCCCGCGCCCCCGCGGACGCCCGACCAAGCCCAAGGAUCCUGAGGCCGAAGCUGCCAAUCCGCCCAAGAAGGCCAAGACCGCUCCUACCCCUGCCGUCGACGGAUCCGCCAAGCGCGGCCGCGGCCGUCCGCCCAAGGCACGCCCCGCCGAGCCGGCGGCGGCCUGA
rnacentral:rRNA from 1 species